CUUCAGUGAUGAUGCUUGAUGACGAGUCUGAUGGGAUACGGUUCUGUCAGGAUUCCUGAUGCAGUUGGCACGUUCUGUGCUGCUAGAUUCAGAGCCUAGAACAGUCUGUCCCUUUUUUUGAUGACUUAGAGGCAUUUGUCUGAGAAGG